rnacentral:rRNA from 1 species
GACGAACGCUGGCGGCGUGCCUAAUACAUGCAAGUAGAACGCACAGUUUAUACCGUAGCUUGCUACACCAUAGACUGUGAGUUGCGAACGGGUGAGUAACGCGUAGGUAACCUGCCUGGUAGCGGGGGAUAACUAUUGGAAACGAUAGCUAAUACCGCAUAAUAUUAAUUAUUGCAUGAUAAUUAAUUGAAAGGUGCAAUUGCACCACUACCAGAUGGACCUGCGUUGUAUUAGCUAGUAGGUGAGGUAACGGCUCACCUAGGCGACGAUACAUAGCCGACCUGCGAGGGUGAUCGGCCACACUGGGACUGGGACACGGCCCAGACUCCUACGGGAGGCAGCCGUAGGGGAUCUUCGGCAAUGGACGCAAGUCUGACCGAGCAACGCCGCGUGAGUGAAGAAGGUUUUCGGAUCGUAAAGCUCUGUUGUAAGAGAAGAACGGGUGUGAGAGUGGAAAGUUCACACUGUGACGGUAUCUUACCAGAAAGGGACGGCUAACUACGUG